AACGAACGCUGGCGGCAUGCCUAACACAUGCAAGUCGAACGAGACCUUCGGGUCUAGUGGCGCACGGGUGCUUAACGCGUGGGAACCUGCCCUUAGGUUCGGAAUAACUCCCCUAAAGGGGUUCUAAUACCGGAUAAUGUCUUCGGACCAAAGAUUUAUCGCCUUUUGAUGGGCCCGCGUUGGAUUAGCUAGUUGGUAGGGUAAAAGCCUACCAAGGCGACGAUCCAUAGCUGGUCUGAGAGGAUGAUCAGCCACACUGGGACUGAGACACGGCCCAGACUCCUACGGGAGGCAGCAGUGGGGAAUAUUGGACAAUGGGCGAAAGCCUGAUCCAGCAAUGCCGCGUGAGUGAUGAAGGCCUUAGGGUUGUAAAGCUCUUUUACCCGGGAUGAUAAUGACAGUACCGGGAGAAUAAGCUCCGGCUAACUCCGUG
rnacentral:rRNA from 1 species